rnacentral:tRNA from 1 species
CACCAAAUAACUUAAAGUAAGUAAAAGCCUCUUAAGCUUUAAUAUGUCAAUUAACGAUUGGCUUUGGUGA